UCCUCGGUAGCUCAGCGGUAGAGCGGUCCCCUGUUAAGGGAAAGGUCGCAGGUUCAAAUCCUGCCCGAGGAGCCA
rnacentral:tRNA from 2 species